AGAGUUUGAUCAUGGCUCAGGACGAACGCUGGCGGCGCGCCUCAUGCAUGCAAGUCGAACGAUAACUAGCUCAUUCGUAAGAUUGAGUUAGGGACAGUGGCGAACGGGUGCGUAACACGUGAGAAACCUGCCCUGGAGACCGGGAUAGCCCGAGGAAACUCGGAUUAAUGCCGGAUGCCCUCACCGGACCACAUGGUCUGAUGAGGAAAUGGUCAGCCGCUCCAGGAUGGUCUCGCGGCCUAUCAGCUUGUUGGUGAGGUAAUGGCUCACCAAGGCUCUGACGGGUAGCUGGUCUGAGAGGACGAUCAGCCACACUGGGACUGAGACACGGCCCAGACUCCUACGGGAGGCAGCAGCAGGGAAUAUUGCACAAUGGGCGAAAGCCUGAUGCAGCGACGCCGCGUGCGGGAUGAAGGCCUUCGGGUUGUAAACCGCUUUCAGGAGGGACGAAAAUGACGGUACCUCCAGAAGAAGGCCCGGCCAACUACGUGCCAGCAGCCGCGGUAAUACGUAGGGGCCAAGCGUUGUCCGGAUUUAUUGGGCGUAAAGGGCUCGUAGGCGGUUUGACAAGUCGGACGUGAAAACCCGGGGCUCAACCCCGGGACGCCGUUCGAAACUGUCAUGACUAGGGUCCGGUAGAGGUGAGUGGAAUUCUCGGUGUAGCGGUGGAAUGCGCAGAUAUCGAGAGGAACACCAGUAGCGAAGGCGGCUCACUGGGCCGGUACCGACGCUGAGGAGCGAAAGCGUGGGGAGCAAACAGGAUUAGAUACCCUGGUAGUCCACGCCGUAAACGUUGAACACUAGGUGUGGCGAGUUAAUCCAUACUUGCCGUGCCGCAGCUAACGCAUUAAGUGUUCCGCCUGGGGAGUACGGCCGCAAGGCUAAAACUCAAAGGAAUUGACGGGGCCCCGCACAAGCGGCGGAGCAUGCGGCUUAAUUCGAUGCAACCCGAAGAACCUUACCUGGGCUUGACAUCAUGGGUCUAUCCCUAGAGAUAGGGAGUGCUUAUGCGCCCAUGACAGGUGGUGCAUGGCUGUCGUC
rnacentral:rRNA from 1 species